CAUCAAGCUGCUGGUGGUGAGAGUGCNGAACGGUGAGUAUGCGUGACCGACCUGCCCCAUACACNGGAUNAGCUCUGGAAACGGGUGGUAAUGCCGGAUGCUCCAGUUGAUCGCAUGUCCUUCUGGGGAAGCUUUCGCGUAUGGGAAUGGGGUCGCGUCCUAUCAGCUGACGGGCGGGGUAACGGCCCACGUGGGCUUCGACGGUAGCCCGNCCUGAGAGGGCGACCGGCCACAUUGGACUGAGAUACGGCCCAGACUCCUACGGGAGGCAGCAGUGGGGAAUAUGNCACAAUGGGCGCAAGCCUGAUGCAGCGACGCCGCGUGAGGGAUGGAGGCCUUCGGGUUGUAAACCUCUUUUAUCGGGGAGCAAGCGAGAGUGAGUUUACCCGUUGAAUAAGCACCGGCUAACUACGUGCCAGCAGCCGCGGUAAUACGUAGGGUGCAAGCGUUAUCCGGAAUUAUUGGGCGUAAAGGGCUCGUAGGCGGUUCGUCGCGUCCGGUGUGAAAGUCCAUCGCUUAACGGUGGAUCCGCGCCGGGUACGGGCGGGCUUGAGUGCGGUAGGGGAGACUGGAAUUCCCGGUGUAACGGUGGAAUGUGUAGAUAUCGGGAAGAACACCAAUGGCGAAGGCAGGUCUCUGGGCCGUUACUGACGCUGAGGAGCGAAAGCGUGGGGAGCGAACAGGAUUAGAUACCCUGGUAGUCCACGCCGUAAACGGUGGAUGCUGGAUGUGGGGCCCGUUCCACGGGUUCCGUGUCGGAGCUAACGCGUUAAGCAUCCCGCCUGGGGAGUACGGCCGCAAGGCUAAAACUCAAAGAAAUUGACGGGGGCCCGCACAAGCGGCGGAGCAUGCGGAUUAAUUCGAUGCAACGCGAAGAACCUUACCUGGGCUUGACAUGUUCCCGACGGUCGUAGAGAUACGGCUUCCCUUCGGGGCGGGUUCACAGGUGGUGCAUGGUCGUCGUCAGCUCGUGUCGUGAGAUGUUGGGUUAAGUCCCGCAACGAGCGCAACCCUCGCCCCGUGUUGCCAGCGGAUUAUGCCGGGAACUCACGGGGGACCGCCG
rnacentral:rRNA from 1 species